UGCGUAGGUGGAUUGGUAAGUCAGUGGUGAAAUCUCCGGGCUUAACUCGGAAACUGCCAUUGAUACUAUCAGUCUUGAAUACCGUGGAGGCCAGUAGAAUAUGUCAUGUAGCGGUGAAAUGCUUAGAUAUGACAUAGAAUACCAAUUGCGAAGGCAGCUGGCUACGCGAAUAUUGACAUCAGGCACGAAAGCGUGGGAUCAAACA
rnacentral:rRNA from 1 species